UCUAUGAGGGUUUAUGUGCUCGCACAAACAACGUGCUUUCGUCAUCUGCAUGUUGCAACUUGCGCGGGAGCAUGAUGAGCAUUCUACAAACAAGAUGGCGAGUGUUGAGUGCGAGAAUACGGCAGUGUCUCUGAAAGAAGUGCCCUUUCGUCGUCGUACUACAAAUGCGGAGAAAGCAACGAUCAAACAGAUAGGACCAUUAGACCUGAAACGCCAAGCAAGUGUCUUCGAAAGUGGAGGAGUCCUACACACGAUCUUUCAACAAGAACUGGUACCUCCGAAACCCCUGGCUAGCCGGCUGUGUAGCCAAUGCACUUUUUUUGCUACCCUUGCCUUCGCUUCCACCCAGAAAACAACACGGCAGACGGUACAGCCUGGACAUUAAAAUAGGCUCUCGGAGAAAGUUAAGAGGCACGAGAAAGCAAGGAAUCACACGGACAGCUGUCUCAAGUUUUCAGCCAUAGCUGAGUGGGAUCUCAAGUUGUUUUUUUUUCCACGGUCCACCCAGGCUGACCAGCAUUCUCGAUCAGGUCGUCACUCGAAGGGCCCUCCAGAGGUUCACAAGCAGUGUGCUGGUCAUAGGGACUCCACCUCACAUCACCAGGUCCAGGGAGAACCAUCUACCAAACGAGCAAGAACAGCCUUGGGAGAGGAAGAGAAGCAAAGGAUGGUCAAAGAGAUCUGUGACACCGUUUUGACUGCAAGAAGGGUUUUUCCUUCACUGACACCCUGGUUAGUGCCACCUUGCUGCAAGGAGAUCUGUUUGGUGCUCAUGCUCUACAUGCCACUGUGAAGGCAUACCCCAUAUUGGAUCAAGCAAAGCUGCACACAGAGCUCUCCCUCUUCUACGAAAACCCUGAGUGUAGGGGAUGCUGAGGUGCACUGGCACUUUACUAGCUGCUUGUAUGUGGACAUUGGAUGUUGUUUGAUAUAUUUUAUCAUUGUAUCUUCUGUGUGUUAUAUUUCUGUAUUUGGACUUUUACUGCUACCCACAGAGCAUUGUGAACUGUGAUAACAUAUUUUAGACACCCUUCUCUUUGUAUCUUGCUUGUCUACCAUUGUGCCUUUGUUCAAAUACCUUUUUUAUUCAGUAAAACAUUUGAAUUUGA